rnacentral:rRNA from 1 species
GACGAACGCUGGCGGCGUGCUUAACACAUGCAAGUCGAACGGAAAGGCCCUGCUUUUGUGGGGUGCUCGAGUGGCGAACGGGUGAGUAACACGUGAGUAACCUGCCCUUGACUUUGGGAUAACUUCAGGAAACUGGGGCUAAUACCGGAUAGGAGCUCCUGCUGCAUGGUGGGGGUUGGAAAGUUUCGGCGGUUGGGGAUGGACUGGCGGCUUAUCAGCUUGUUGGUGGGGUAGUGGCUUACCAAGGCUUUGACGGGUAGCCGGCCUGAGAGGGUGACCGGCCACGUUGGGACGGAAAUACGGCACAGACUACUCCGGGAGGCAGCAGUGGGGAAUAUUGCACAAUGGGCGGAAGCCUGAUGCAGCAACGCCGCGUGCGGUAAGACAGCCUUCGGGUUGUAAUCCGCUUUCGCCUGUGACGAAGCGUGAGUGACGGUAAUGGGUAAAGAAGCACCGGCUAACUACGUG